UCGAGGGGUAUCAGUAGCAAUAUUGAGAGACCGGCGCACGGGUGAGUAACGCGUAUGCAACCUGCCCUUUACAGGGGGAUAGCCCGUCGAAAGGCGGAUUAAUACCCCAUAAUAUUGUACUACCGCAUGGUAGAGCGAUAAAAGCUUCGGCGGUAAAGGAUGGGCAUGCGUGACAUUAGCUAGUUGGUAGGGUAACGGCCUACCAAGGCUACGAUGUCUAGGGGUUCUGAGAGGAAGGUCCCCCACACUGGUACUGAGACACGGACCAGACUCCUACGGGAGGCAGCAGUGAGGAAUAUUGGUCAAUGGGCGGGAGCCUGAACCAGCCAUCCCGCGUGCAGGAAGACGGCCCUAUGGGUUGUAAACUGCUUUUGUGCAGGAAGAAUGCCAGGUACGUGUACCUGAUUGACGGUACUGCAUGAAUAAGCACCGGCUAACUCCGUGCCAGCAGCCGCGGUAAUACGGAGGGUGCAAGCGUUAUCCGGAUUUAUUGGGUUUAAAGGGUGCGUAGGCGGUAAGAUAAGUCAGUGGUGAAAAUCUGCAGCUCAACUGUAGGGGUGCCAUUGAAACUGUUUUACUUGAGUAACCAUGAGGUAGGCGGAAUGUGUAGUGUAGCGGUGAAAUGCUUAGAUAUUACACAGAACACCGAUUGCGUAGGCAGCUUACUAGCGGUUUACUGACGCUGAUGCACGAAAGCGUGGGGAUCAAACAGGAUUAGAUACCCUGGUAGUCCACGCCGUANACGAUGAUAACUCGCUGUUGGCGAUNCACAGUCAGCGGCUUAGCGAAAGCGUUAAGUUAUCCACCUGGGGAGUA
rnacentral:rRNA from 1 species